GUCUUUUUGAUUAUAAUUUAAAGUCUGACCUGCCCAAUGAGGAAUUGAAUGGCCGCGGUAAUUUGACCGUGCAAAGGUAGCAUAAUCAUUAGUUUUUUAAUUGAAAGCUGGAAUGAACGGUUGGACGAGAAAAUAACUGUCUCAAUUUAAUUGAAUAUAGAAUUUUAUUUAUAAGUAAAAAAGCUUAUAUAAUUUUAAAAGACGAGAAGACCCUAUAGAGUUUUAUAUUUUAUUAUAUUAAUCAAGGUUAGAAUGUUUACAUUUUUAAUAUAAUAAAAUAUUUUGCUGGGGCAGCAGAAAAAUUAAAUAAACUUUUUUUAUUACAUUACAUUGAUUUAUGGUUAAAUGAUCCAUUUAUUAUGAUUAUAAGAUUAAAUUACCUUAGGGAUAACAGCGUAAUUUUUUUUUAGAGUUCUUAUCGAAAAAAGAGUUUGCGACCUCGAUGUUGGAUUAAAAUUAACUUUUGGUGUAGGGGCUAAAAGGUUGGGUCUGUUCGACCCUUAAAAUUUUACA
rnacentral:rRNA from 1 species